UACGAAGGGGGCUAGCGUUGUUCGGAUUUACUGGGCGUAAAGCGCACGUAGGCGGUUUGUUAAGUCAGGGGUGAAAUCCCAGAGCUCAACUCUGGAACUGCCCUUGAUACUGGCAAGCUAGAGUCCGGAAGAGGUAAGUGGAACUCCUAGUGUAGAGGUGGAAUUCGUAGAUAUUGGGAAGAACACCGGUGGCGAAGGCGGCGACCUGGUCCGAUACUGACGCUGAGGCGCGAAAGCGUGGGGAGCAAACAGG
rnacentral:rRNA from 1 species